rnacentral:rRNA from 1 species
UACAGAGGGUGCAAGCGUUAAUCGGAAUUACUGGGCGUAAAGCGUGCGUAGACGGUUAUGUAAGUCGGGUGUGAAAGCCCCGGGCUCAACCUGGGAAUUGCAUUCGAGACUGCAUAGCUAGGGUGCGGAAGAGGGAAGCGGAAUUUCCGGUGUAGCGGUGAAAUGCGUAGAUAUCGGGAGGAACACCAGUGGCGAAGGCGGCUACCUGGACCAGCACUGACACUGAGGCACGAAAGCGUGGGGAGCAAACAGG